ensembl:lincRNA
AUAUGUGCAAUGCUGCAAUCAGUUGCCAUGGAGACCACACUCUGGCCCUGUACCCUCAACAGCAUGGUUAAAUAAGUGGAUGAAACCCAAAGCUGUCCUCACUUUUCCUGCCAGACAGAUUUCCUUAAGUGAGCCAUGUGUUGGUAAUGAAAUCCUGAACCCAUGCGGGGUUAGACAGAAGCAGCAGUGCUUGAUGAUCUAUCAGAUGUGGGUGAAGACAGAACAGAGCAAGACAUACAUUUUUUUUCCCUCUGGGUUCACACAUGCUGCUAAAUGUGUUGUGUCAGGAUGGGAUCUAAUGAGAGCUGAUAAGAAGAUGCCACCCCCAGUGACCAUGAAUGGGUUCUCAUGUGUAAGAGACAGAACCAAAGUGGGGGUAACUGAGAUUGUGUGCCUACUUUUGUGGAUGAACAUCCCUGACAAGGUGGUGCUAUCUGUGAAAGGUUGGUGUGGCCACUUUGCACAUCCUUGCGAGCUGGUGGACUGCAUAUGGGGUCAAAAUAAGCAUUCUAGCUUAAAAACAACAAAAAGGAAACUGGACUGAAGUUUGCCUCGAGCUAAAGAGAAGGUCCUGUUCUUAUGGCAGCAGCAGCUGCAAACACACACCAGAACAGAAGUCGGGAUGACCAGGGACUUUCUCAGAGAAAAAUGCUGGC